CCUUCCUAGCAAGGGUCAACCCUUAAGUGAGGUCUAAAACAGGUGCAGCCAGGCUCCACCUCUUCUGGUCACACAGCUGAAUUGCCUUCAUCUGUGUUCCCAGUAUUGACCGGGUCCUUUCCCCAGAUGCUCAAUCAGUGGUUCUGGCCUGUGACUCAACAGUUCCCAUACAGCUGAUACAACAGUAGAGAUAAGUACACAGGUACCGGCAGUAUCCAAAUUCCAGCUCUUGUAGAUGUUUAAUUGCUCAAGAGGAACAAGAAAGAAGAUAUUUUACCAAGAAAAAAAAAUGGAGCUUAUUUGGCAAAGAAUUUACAGCAUAUGGAUGAGAUGAAAGAAGGCACAGCUGGCUUCAAUUUUCUGCAGUAGAAUUUAGCAUUCAAAAAGGCAAAGAAUCAUUGGGAUUGGAAGGGAUUUCUGGAGAUCAUUG
ensembl:lncRNA